rnacentral:rRNA from 1 species
AGUGAACGCUGGCGGUAGGCCUAACACAUGCAAGUCGAACGGCAGCACAGUAAGAGCUUGCUCUUACGGGUGGCGAGUGGCGGACGGGUGAGGAAUACAUCGGAAUCUACUUUUUCGUGGGGGAUAACGUAGGGAAACUUACGCUAAUACCGCAUACGACCUACGGGUGAAAGCAGGGGAUCUUCGGACCUUGCGCGAUUGAAUGAGCCGAUGUCGGAUUAGCUAGUUGGCGGGGUAAAGGCCCACCAAGGCGACGAUCCGUAGCUGGUCUGAGAGGAUGAACAGCCACACUGGAACUGAAACACGGUCCAGACUCCUACGGGAGGCAGCAGUGGGGAAUAUUGGACAAUGGGCGCAAGCCUGAUCCAGCCAUACCGCGUGGGUGAAGAAGGCCUUCGGGUUGUAAAGCCCUUUUGUUGGGAAAGAAAAGCAGCAGGUUAAUACCCCGCUGUUCUGACGGUACCCAAAGAAUAAGCACCGGCUAACUUCGUG